UACGAAGGGGGCUAGCGUUGCUCGGAAUCACUGGGCGUAAAGCGCACGUAGGCGGAUUGCUAAGUCAGGGGUGAAAUCCUGGAGCUCAACUCCAGAACUGCCUUUGAUACUGGCGAUCUCGAGUUCGGGAGAGGUGAGUGGAACUGCGAGUGUAGAGGUGAAAUUCGUAGAUAUUCGCAAGAACACCAGUGGCGAAGGCGCACAUCUGGCCCGAUACUGACGCUGAGGCGCGAAAGCUAGGGGAGCAAACGGG
rnacentral:rRNA from 1 species